rnacentral:snRNA from 1 species
CGACUACGUUACGACUACGGU